rnacentral:rRNA from 1 species
UACGAGAGGCCCAACCGUUAUUCGGAAUUACUGGGCUUAAAGAGUUCGUAGGCGGCAUUGCAAGUAGGGUGUGAAAGCCCUCGGCUCAACCGAGGAAUUGCGCUCUAAACUGCAGUGCUUGAGGAACCUAGAGGUGAGCAGAACAGAUGGUGGAGCGGUGAAAUGCGUUGAUAUCAUCUGGAAUACCGGAGGCGAAGGCGGCUCACUGGGAGUUUUCUGACGCUGAGGAGCGAAAGCGUGGGGAGCGAACAGG